UACGUAGGGUCCGAGCGUUGUCCGGAAUUACUGGGCGUAAAGAGCUCGUAGGUGGUUUGUCGCGUUGUUCGUGAAAACUCACAGCUCAACUGUGGGCGUGCGGGCGAUACGGGCAGACUAGAGUACUGCAGGGGAGACUGGAAUUCCUGAUGUAGCGGUGGAAUGCGCAGAUAUCAGGAGGAACACCGGUGGCGAAGGCGGGUCUCUGGGCAGUAACUGACGCUGAGGAGCGAAAAGCGUGGGGGAGCGAACAGG
rnacentral:rRNA from 1 species